UCUCUGUCUCUUUCUUUCCACGAUCUCUCAUGUCUCUCUCCUCUAUUCUCUCAUCUCUUUAUCUUCUUCUCCAUUCAAACACAACCAAUGCCUACUUCAUUCACAAACUAAAUCCCAAUCAAUCUUCUCUACUUACCCUUUUUCUCACCUCUCUCACGCCUUAUAUCUCUUAACCAUGAACAAAGAAUCCUUGAAUUCUUGCACGUUGUCAUCUUCCUCUUCUCUGGCAUUCUUAUGGGCUUCAGCUCCAUCCACCAGUAUACUUCAUGGUUCUCCUAUAUUAUUUGUGUCAAGGCCAAUCAAUUCAUGACCCUCAAAAAAGCUGGCAAUUCAGCACAAGUGGUGGCUGUGGUUCUUCUCCAUCUUAUUCAAGAGUGUAUUGUUGGGUACAAAAAGAAGAGCAUGUCCUUGUUGUCAUUGGUUGAAAGAGCUACCUCAUGUACUUCAAAACAAAUUGAAGAUUGCCCCAAAUGUAAUGCCUAAUUACUCCAUUUUGACAGAUAUGGAAACGGCUCUUCAUGAAUUGGAUUUCUUGUCUUUUGCCCUUAAUUAAUUUCUAUGGUUCUAGUGUGAUUAAAGCACUAAUUUCUUGUCUUUGGUUUCUUAAGGAUACCAUUAGAGCUGUUAAGCUAGGAUUGUGCAAUUGAUUUCAAAUUUGAAUUUUUUUUUUUAGUUUGAAAUUCAAAAAUUAGCUAGAGUUUGUUAUGGUGGUUCGUGUAAAUGUAAUUUUAACUUUGAGUUGUUUUGUUAUGUUGAUUUAUGAUGAAGUUUG
rnacentral:misc_RNA from 1 species